GUGCUUGCACGGAUCUUUUAGAAAGUGGCGAACGGGUGAGUAACGCGUGGGUAACCUGCCCUAUGGAAAGGAAUAGCCUCGGGAAACUGGGAGUAAUGCCUUAUAAUACAGUGAAGUCGCAUGGCUUUAUUGUUAAACGCUCCGGUGCCAUAGGAUGGACCCGCGUCCCAUUAGCUAGUUGGUGAGAUAACAGCCCACCAAGGCGACGAUGGGUAACCGGUCUGAGAGGGCGAACGGUCACACUGGAACUGAGACACGGUCCAGACUCCUACGGGAGGCAGCAGUGGGGAAUAUUGCGCAAUGGGGGAAACCCUGACGCAGCAAUACCGCGUGAGUGAAGAAGGUUUUCGGAUCGUAAAGCUCUGUUAUUGGGGAAGAAAAAAGACGGUACCCAAGAAGAAAGUCCCGGCUAACUACGUGCCAGCAGCCGCGGUAAUACGUAGGGGACAAGCGUUGUCCGGAUUUACUGGGCGUAAAGGGCACGCA
rnacentral:rRNA from 1 species